AAUGCAGCCAUACAAAAUAAUGAAUUCCUAUCCUUUGUAAGGACUUGAAUGACGCUGGAAACCAUCAUUCUCAGCAAACUAACACAAGAACAGAAAUAAACACCACCUGUUAUUGCUCAUACGUGGGAGUUGAACAAUGAGAACACAUGGACACAGGGAGGGAACAU